rnacentral:misc_RNA from 1 species
GNGUAANUAUGUGAAUUGCAGAAGUGAAUCNUUCGAAUCUUUGNAACGCACCUUGCGCUCNCGGCAGAUCUAAUCUGGGGAGCAUGCCUGUUUGAGGGCCGCGAAUUGUUUCGAACGGCAGCUUUUUUCACGAAGAGCUGGCGGAUCGGUUUUGAGAGGUCUUUUGCCAUUUACCGUGGCUCCCUCUAAAUGCAUUAGCGCAUCCAUUUGAUAGGCAAGACGGACGAAAGCUCAAUCUUUCGCUCUUUUCUUUCCUGCCGGGUUUUGAUAAUAUCGAAGCUUCGGAGAGACUGAAAAGAGCAACGAGCUGGACGCAACGACUUGCUGGUUGGAGCGCUUCUGAACCCCGCCUUCUCUUUUAGAGAGGAGGAUUUAAUAAUUCACAUCGGCCUCAGAUUGGUAGGACUACCCGCUGAACUUAAGCAUUUUNNANNNNGNGGGAGGAAA